rnacentral:rRNA from 1 species
ANNNNNANCNAUGCNNNGNCUAGUAUAGCAUUAUACAGCGAAACUGCGAAUGGCUCAUUAUAUAAGUUAUCGUUUAUUUGAUAGUACCUUACUACUUGGAUAACCGUGGUAAUUCUAGAGCUAAUACAUGCUAAAAAUCCCGACUUCGGAAGGGAUGUAUUUAUUAGAUUAAAAACCAAUGCCCUUCGGGGCUCCUUGGUGAUUCAUGAUAACUUCUCGAAUCGCAUGGCCUUGUGCCGGCGAUGGUUCAUUCAAAUUUCUUCCCUAUCAACUUUCGAUGUUUGGGUAUUGGCCAAACAUGGUUGCAACGGGUAACGGAGGGUUAGGGCUCGACCCCGGAGAAGGAGCCUGAGAAACGGCUACUACAUCCAAGGAAGGCAGCAGGCGCGCAAAUUACCCAAUCCCGACACGGGGAGGUAGUGACAAUAAAUACUGAUACAGGGCUCUUUAGGGUCUUGUAAUUGGAAUGAGUACAAUUUAAAUCUCUUAACGAGGAACAAUUGGAGGGCAAGUCUGGUGCCAGCAGCCGCGGUAAUUCCAGCUCCAAUAGCGUAUAUUAAAGUUGUUGUGGUUAAAAAGCUCGUAGUUGAACCUUGGGCCUGGCUGGCCGGUCCGCCUCACCGCGUGUACUGGUCCGGCCGGGCCUUUCCCUCUGUGGAACCUCAUGCCCUUCACUGGGUGUGGCGGGGAAACAGGACUUUUACUUUGAAAAAAUUAGAGUGCUCCAGGCAGGCCUAUGCUCGAAUACAUUAGCAUGGAAUAAUAGAAUAGGACGUGUGGUUCUAUUUUGUUGGUUUCUAGGACCGCCGUAAUGAUUAAUAGGGACAGUCGGGGGCAUCAGUAUUCAAUUGUCAGAGGUGAAAUUCUUGGAUUUAUUGAAGACUAACUACUGCGAAAGCAUUUGCCAAGGAUGUUUUCAUUAAUCAGGAACGAAAGUUAGGGGAUCGAAGACGAUCAGAUACCGUCGUAGUCUUAACCAUAAACUAUGCCGACUAGGGAUCGGACGGUGUUAUUUUUUGACCCGUUCGGCACCUUACGAGAAAUCAAAGUGCUNGGCUCNAGGGGNNNNNNNGNNNNAGNUNAANUA